UACGAGGGGUGCAAGCGUUAAUCGGAUUUAUUGGGCGUAAAGGGCGCGUAGGUGGAGAUAGAAGUCAGGUGUGAAAGCCCGAAGCUCAACUUCGGAAUAGCACCUGAAACUCUAUCACUUGAGGGUAGACGGAGAAAACGGAAUUCCACAUGUAGCGGUGAAAUGCGUAGAUAUGUGGAAGAACACCUGUAGCGAAAGCGGUUUUCUAGUUUAUACCUGACGCUGAGGCGCGAAAGCUAGGGGAGCAAACAGG
rnacentral:rRNA from 1 species